ensembl:lncRNA
CCUAUUCCCUAUAUAGUGGCACCCUAUGCCCUAUAUAGUGGCACCCUGUUCCUUAUUUUCCCACAUUCUCUAUUCCCCUAUAAUGCCAAUAGGGUCCCAUUUGGGACGCACAGUUUGACUGGUUAAAUAUGGACGGUUUCCUUUAGUUGGUAAUUUAGGCGUCAGGGAUGCCCAUUUUCACCUUCUAACUCUGUUCUUCAAAGGGGUGAGUGUUGUGGAUGUUUAUUUAUAUAUAUAUAUAUAUAUAUAUAUGCCAUUUCUGCUGGUUAUAUGUUUUUCUUUACAGAUGCUAUUGUUGUUAAUGAAUCCAAUGCUAUAAGCUUUUUCACACUGCAGUGAUCUUAGCCCCAGGCUAAGACUGACCCUGGACCAGUUUAUCCUGUCUUCACGGUUCACACAAGCUUUUAGUGAUGACUUGUUUAAACCUCGCUGUCCGCCUGCCUGGGGGGGAAUAAACUGUUUCUCUUUUGAAAUGCGAUCUCGCGCCCUGUACAGAGAAUUCUGUGCAAGAGACGAGACAUCAACGUUUCUGAUCCAGGCGAAAUCAUGCAACAAUAUUUUAUUGUCAUGGGAUAGCCAUAAUCCAAGUACAUGUCUAAUGUGAAAACAGAGGAAAGAGCUUGAUGCCCUUCCAGCUGUAGAGUUUGUGGCUUCGGUUGGCUAGCUCAGUGAGAAGAAGUUAGCCAGCCGGCAGAGCAACCAAUUUUAUGAUUUAUUUGUAUUAUUAUUUUUAUUAGCCAUAGAAACCAAAUGUUUUUGCAUAGAUGAACGUAUUGUUUUUAUUUAUUUUUAGUUUUCGUCCUCUGAUAGAUGAAAUAGUAUAAAUGUAUUUAUUAAAACGGCAGAACGCAUCACAAGCGUAUGUAAGUUAAGUGAAUGUGCAGCUUUUGUGAUUGGACAGUAAAGAUUCUAUGCGUUGUUCUAAAAUCUCCCAUAGCCCAGGCCUGACGAGGCUCUUAGCCCUGGGCUAAGGUUGGUGUGAAUAUUCGCUUAGGCCUGGGCUAAAAUCUCCCAUAGCCCAGGCCUGACGAGGCUCUUAGCCCUGGGCUAAGGUUGGUGUGAAUAUUCGCUUAGGCCUGGGCUAAAAUCUCCCAUAGCCCAGGCCUGACGAGGCUCUUAGCCCUGGGCUAAGGUUGGUGUGAAUAUUUGCUUAGCCCUGGGCUAAAAUCUCCCAUAGCCCAGGCCUGACGAGGCUCUUAGCCCCGAGUUAAGGUGCAGUGUGAAUGCAUCUUUUCUAUGUGAAAGUUGGAACAAGUGUGUGUUCUUUCAAUCACAAAAUCUCCUUUUGUCAUUAAAGAUUUUUUUUUUCUCUCAACUAUCUCAGUCAUUGUUUCUCCUCUUUUUUGCCUUGUUCUGUCUGUUUCUAUAUAUUGUUAUUCUGCCUCCUCACUGAUACAAUAUUUUUUUAAAGUAUUUAAAAAAAGGCUCUUCCUAAGUUUCCUGUACGUUUCUAGCUAUGACAUGACAAGAAGUGUUAUAAGGCAGUAUUAGUAAAGCCACAUUACUACCGGAGGUGUUUUAUAAGGCUUUGUUUAUAACGUGUGUUCAGUACAAAAUAUAAUCCAAC